CCUACGGUGGGCAGCAGUGGGGAAUAUUGCACAAUAGGGGGAACCCUGAUGCAGCGACGCCGCGUGGGUGAGGAAGUACUUCGGUAUGUAAAGCCCUAUCAGUAGGGAAGAAAAUGUUGCUACUUGACUAAGAAGCACCGGCAAACUACGUGACAACAGCCGCGGUAAUACGUAGGGGGGACGCGGUAAUCGGUAUUACUGGGGGUAAAGGGAGCGUAGACGGCGUGCCAAGUCUGGUGUGAAAGGCCGGGGCUCAACCCCGGGACUGCAUUGGAUACUGGCCUGCUGGAGUGCCUGAGGGGCAAGCGGAAUUCCUAGUGUAGCGGUGAAAUGCGUAGAUAUUAGGAGGAACACCGGUGGCGAAGGCAGCUUGCUGGGCGGUAACUGACGUUGAGGCUCGAAAGCGUGGGGAGCAAACAGGAUUAGAUACCCGAGUAGUC
rnacentral:rRNA from 1 species